rnacentral:rRNA from 6 species
UCACACCCGUUCCCAUACCGAACACGGAAGUUAAGCUCUUUAGCGCCGAUGGUAGUUGGGGGCUUCCCCCUGUGAGAGUAGGACGUCGCUAGGC